UAAAUUGCAGGAUGGCAGUUUCUAAAGUCUAAUCAAACUUUUAACGUUUAAAGGAAGAUGCCACAUUGGACACUAACAGUGGACAGGCACUGAACUCAGUUUACCCAAAUUGUCACUGAUCCAAACACAUUUCUCACGUUUCUAAAACAUCAGAGACCCUUGAUUAUCCCUAAGAAGGAAAUAAAAUAAGGAACUGACUUGAAGAGUGAAGACCCCCAACAACACCAACCCCGUCCCCCAUCAAGCGUGGACAGCCACUCGUCCGUCCCAGACGUAGAAGAAACCCCCGAAGACUUCACGCAGGUGCUUCGUGGUACUAUUUCAGGCUGCUGGGGAAGGUCCCUGUGUUUUCCUGUGUGACGUUGGACCCUCUGGUGCUGCCUCCAAGGUGGGACAGAAUAAAUCGUGUUCUCCAGGCUGGCUGGUGUGACAAGCAGACCCUGAGUGUGACAUCACUGUCUUGUCACCUUGGGCCUCAGGUAGCCAGAGGCAAAACAUUCUUGAGAUGCCAGCCAACCAGGAAAAAGGUGACAUCACCCUUCUCUGAAAUCUUGGCCUGAAACUGGUUUUUGGUCCAAUGGAAAAUGUGUCCAAUUGCUGGCAGACUCACCCUGGCAAACGGCCACUGCAUCCCGACAGACGGUGAGGGCGUCAGAAGUGGGAUCCGACAGAUGAAAGCGCCUGGAGGCCUGAGAGCCGGUUGUCCCGGCGGGAAUCUCCACCGUAACCUGUAAUUUACCUGUGGGCUGCGCGGGCUUAGAGAUGAAGAUAGAGCUGGAAUCGAGGUCUCGCCCGGAUGGUUCUGUUCCAGGGCUACAAAAGCUCUGCUGGUUCUUUAACCUGUAGGAGGCAACCAUAGCCCACGGGCCUGUGGGGUCAACCCAGUUUGUAAAUGGAAUCGAAGUGAAGCCUAAGAACUGAACACACCCCAGGUGGGGGCAAAACUCAGGAGAGCCUGUCGGGAACGUGAAAGGAGGUCUCAUAUGUCACACGUCAUUACUUGGGGGACUACGUUUUCUUCAUGCACAAAUGCCCCCCACGUGGACUUCUGGCCAUUUAUUUUUUGGUGGCGUUUGAUAGAAAUGUAAUGAAUUAAACAAAUAAUAUAUACAUAUAAUUUAACAGUGGAAACGGCCCUGAGCCAACGAAUACCACCGGUCUAUGCACUAGAAAUAAUUUCAUCACAGAAAUAACAUGUGUGAUUGUCCAUAUCUAGCUUUGGCUAACUUUUCUGUAAAGAACCAGAUGGUCAAUAUUUUCCGUCUGCUUUGAGGGCCAGGUCGUACCUGCCACGACUAUUCAGCAGAAAACCUCCACAGACAACAUGUAAACGAACAGCUGAGGCUGUUCCCAAUAAAACUUGGUUGUCAGGAGGGCGGGAUUUGGCCCACCACUGCCCCUGUUGUAAGUGGAUACACUGCCUUUUUGGAAAAACAAAAUCAGCUCAACUUGAGACCAUGAAUACCAUCACAGGGACACAGAGUGACAUGGAUUUUUCAGUAAACGGAUGCUCAGUAAAUGGCAUACUUUGGACGAAGGCGACGUAGAGUGUUACAGGCUUGGAGUCAGGAACGCCCCCCUGCACUUCCUGGUUCCUGCUCAGGUUGGCCGCAGGACAUUUGCAGGUCCCACUUCUCUCCUCCGUUUCUUUGUCUGUAGAAGGCAGAUGUCAGUGCACAUCCAUCUGUGAAACAGGCUGCUGAGUGGGACAGCAUUUCACUUGGACGCUGGGGCCUGGUGAGGGGCACGUCAGGCACAGGCGGAGCUGGGCACUGGGCUGCGUUCCCAGCCGCAAGGGGCCAGCGAGCUCAUAGACUGGCACCGCUUUCCUCGGCUGUCACCUGAGGAGCAUCAGCUUCCUCCCUGGACAGACGUAACUCAAACACAACUUACUAGACGUGGCCAGUGUUUCCAACAGUUUACUCCCAUCCCCUUCCCCUCAAAGGAGGCCAGACAGAUGCUCGACAGGCCGGCGUGAGGACGGCAGACAUGCUAAUGACACUUCAGAUCCGAAAGGUGUGGCGACGAUUAAAUUACUUCAAAUUGAUAACAGGGUAAGAGAACCAAGUGUUUACUUUGAAGGAGCAUUAACUUCCCCCUCUGCCCUGGAGUCGUUGCCCCAUGUCUUCUUGUCACACUUGGUUCUCCUGAGUGUCUGGUGGUCGGAGCCAGCUUGUCUUCUGUGGAUUUUCUGCCUGGUUGGGAGCCCAGAGCCACCCAGUGACGUGUGCGGUUCACAAAGAGCUGUCCAGUCUGCAGCCUCGGGCUCGGCGCCGGCUGCCCGCCCUGCCCACGCAUGUCCACGUACGAGCCAAACAGAGGUCGUGUUCUUAGAACGUGAGCAUAAAAAUCUCUCGGCACUAAAAUGAACUCACCUACUUGCCAUUCCCAAACCGCUGCAUUUUAAAAGCCUGGGAAUUCCCACGGAAAUACCUGAUCCUGAGGCACGAGAGUAGCAGCUACGAUUGCUGAGGUCAGCGCCUGUCGUAAACUCUCCUCUCCAACGUGCGCGUGUCCCUCAGUGGAGAAUGGAGACCUGUGUGGAGUUAAGGUGCAUGGCUGGCUUUACGCUUGUAUGUGACAGGCAGGGCGGGGACAGUGGCUCGUACAUGAUCCCCAAGACUCCGUGGGCUGCCUCAGGGCUCCUGUGUCAAUCGGACCGUGGCGUGUGGCCGUUCUGGGUCAGUGAGGUUGAGCACGUGGGCACCUGGUCUCUUUCCCUUUCAGGUGCUUCUCCACAUGACUCACGGGAGGGGAGAGCCCAGAGCAGGCUGUGUCUGACCACAUGUGAGCCAUAAAAAGAUGUAUUUUCAAGGGCAAGAGGUUAAAUAAAGGCAAGAGGUUCACUGGUUUUACA